rnacentral:lncRNA from 1 species
AAAUAAGAGACAUGGGAGACUGAGGGCAUGGGGUGGAAUGCAGGUCUGGAUACUACUUGCAUCUCACCCCUGGUGAGGGUUCCCCUAAGCUGGCCGGGCCUCCAAGAGGGCCUUCUGCCCAGCACGUAGCCCACCACUCCUCCCACACACGUGAGCCAGCCAUACCCUGGCAGGCCCUGCCACCUUCUCUGAACUGAUUCAGCCUGGCCUCCAAGAGCGCUGGGAACAACAGACGCGCAGACCUGCGGACAGACAGGAGACAGGGGUAGGGGCUGCGCGCUCAGCGGGCUCACAGGGACUCCGUUCCCUUUUCUGAGUCUAGGCCCUGCUCACCCAAUGUUUUCCUCCCCUACCUCCCCCGCACCCCAGCCGCCAUUUCUUUCCAGGCCUCGGGCACCAAACCAGGAUGCUUCCAAACUGCGUUUGCCUCUUUGUGCCCCUUCCCCCGGAGGCAACCUGUCUCAGCGCCACCCCGUUUUUGCGGAGUAAACACCGAUGACUCCCAGAUCUACAGCUCCAGGCUGUUCCCUUCUCCGUGUCUCAUAUCAGCUUUGCCAACUGUUUAUUGGACAUCACCGCCUGAGUAUCCCUGAGGGACACGAUUAUCCUGUUUGGAGUGUAUUGAACUUCUUGGAUACAUCGAUUAGUGUCUUUCCUCAAGUUUGAGUAAUUUGCAGUCAUUUUUCCUUUGAAAAUUCUUUCUUCUCUAUUCUGUUUCUCUCCUUGUUGAACCCCCAUCAUGCAUAGGUGUGCUCUGUUCAUUUUUCACAUUACUUUUAUUUUUCUGCUCCUCGGACUGAAUAAUCUCAAUUGACCUAUUUUAAGUUCACUGAUUCUUUUGCCUGCCCAAACCUACUGUUGUACCCCUCUAGUGACUUUUAGUUAUUGUACUUUUCAAAUAAAGAAUUUCUAUUUAUUUUAUAAUUUCUACAUCUCUUUGUAUUUUUACAUCUUUACUGAUAUUGUGUAUUUGCUGAGACAUUCUUCUCUUUUUCUUUAGUCCUUUGUUUACGAUUUCCUUUAGUUCUUCGAGCAUAUAUAAGACA